rnacentral:misc_RNA from 1 species
UCCUGGUUAACCCAGGCAGUCUCACUAGAGUUCCCAGCUUUACCUGAUGGCAACUAGUGACAAGGGUUGCGCUCGUUGCGGGACUUAACCCAACACCUCACGGCACGAGCUGACGACAGCCAUGCAGCACCUGUGUAAUGGUCCUUUCGGAAGGAUACGUUUCCGUAUCUGUCCACUACAUGUCAAGUCUAGGUAAGGUUCUUCGCGUAGCAUCGAAUUAAACCACAUACUCCACUGCUUGUGCGAGCCCCCGUCAAUUCUUUUGGGUUCCAACCUUGCGGCCGUACUCCCCAGGCGGUGUACUUAUCGCGUUAGCUACGAUACAAACCGGGUUGAGCCAGUUUACAUCAAGUACACAUCGUUUACGGUGUGGACUAC